rnacentral:tRNA from 1 species
AGAAUAUAGUUUAAUGGCAAAACUGUAACCUUCCAAGUUACAGAUUCGGGUUCGAUUCUCCGAUAUUCUC